UCGGAUAUGGUGUAAUGGUUAACAUUACCGCCUCUCAUAUAAGACGUAUUGCUGUGAAUCGUGGUAUUGCUAUGAUCACGGUAGUAUUGCUGUUAUCGCGGUAGCUCGGGGUUCGAUUCCCCGUAUCCGAA